AUGCUCUGUAAUUCCUUCUCUCAGGUUCCAAUCCCAGAAAACCUAAGAUGGAAGCCCAGGGGGAGGAGUGGAACAAGUUACAAGGUUAGUCUCUUGCACCCAAGAGGUCCUACUCCUGGUUCUCUUGCAUUCACUGUUAACUUUGACUCAUUGAUUGCUAUCCUGCCAGGGGACUGGUGGCCACAGCUCUCCUGCUACAGUGUCCCAUCCCCUCAGGCUUCUUCUUUUAGCCACCUGGCUUCCCCCCUCAGUUCCACAGAGAACAUCUGCUUCCCCUCAAAGGGGAAGCCCUGCCACCUAGACCCAGCUGAGGUCUGUAUCAACUUUGAGCCCUGAACAUUUAAGCAAUGAGAGUGCUGCAAGGCAAACACAGGGAAGAGGGCUAGGUUUCUCUACCUUUCUUUAGGAAUUAAUGCUAGGGUACUCUGGGCCUCCAAUAGCUUAGAGUGACAGUAAUCCACUUUCAUGACUUCUGCUCUGUGUGUUGUCACUUGUGGCAAGACAAUAGUCUGGGAAAAUGGCUUUAAUCUUAAAAACAAGUUUUCACUGGGUUCUCUAACUCUGCCUUCUGUCCCAUUAGUCCUCCUUUUCUUCCCACAAACCAUUCAAAAUAAAAGAAAGAUAAAUACUCAGAUGAAUCCCUUAACAGAACUGAUCUUAGCUUCCAUGUUCCCUUUUGGAAACAACAAUGUCAUUGGUUUACAACUGGUCUGAAGUAAUCUAGUAAGGGAUUCUUAGAGGCUAUUGCCAAUUAAAGUCUUUCCUACAAAACUUGAACAACAAACACUAAAACAAAAUUAAGCAAUACUUCACGUGGUUAUUUCUCAAUACUUCAUUUUAUAUCUCAAGAUGAACACUUUAAUAUCAGUUUGAAAAGCAUGAAAGUCAGGGCAAUACUAAAAAAGUUAUGCAUAUCCCAACUCUCUCUGGAUCAAGAAAAAUGUGCCUUCUGUAUAAGUAUGUGUUGGGAGAGGGAGGGAGUGGAGAGUGUAAAUCAAGAGCGACCUUUAACAGAACAGACUGAGGAGUGUGUUACUUUCCCCACUGUUGGAAAGGUGGGGGUGCAUUAUGCAAAAUUGAAAGUCAAUAGUAGAAAUACUUCCUCCAACUAAAGGCAGAGUGGGAGAGGGCAAAUGUAAAAUGUUUAAUCCAGUGUUUCAUAACCUUGCACUACAAAAGUAAUCCACUGAAAUAACCGAAUGGUCUUUUCCACUUCCCUUGUCAUAUUUUUCCUGAAUAUCUUAUAAAGAUGCCCCAACCUGUUAAAAGCAUUUUCCUUUUCAUAAUGAACUGAAAGAAGAAUCUGAACUGCUUGUCCUCUUUCCACCAAGGGAGAGGUUAGGGGCUGAAUCUAAGUGAGUAAUAUAGGAAGGCAUUAGUGAGCACUCUAAGGUGGCUGAAGGUAAAUAAACCUUACACAUCUUUUCAAUUGAAUCUAUUCAAUCCCAGCCUUAAGGAAGUUAAAAAUCUCUCAGGUGGCCUCACUCUGGUUAACGAUAGGAAGACAGUGUUUAAGCCCCCAAAAGUUUUCUCAAAAGCUGUAAUGCAAUGACAUCCUCUCUGACCUGGGGGAAGACUUCAGCCUAUAACUAAAAAAUGUGGAAUGUGUCACAGUGACACAAAGUGACAAACUCCCUUGGUAGGAGAGGGAAUCAAGAACUAGUUGCCUGCAACUGGAUAACUGCUUAAAACAAACCAACAAACCUACAAACACAAACCUUUCUGUAUCCACAAACUAAGCUUGCUGAUCAUCAUGUCUCUUGUUGGAGCAAACACAUACCACCAAAACGAUUCUAAAUUAAAGGAACUGCUUUCUGACAGGAUUAGGAAAUCCAUGUGUACCGAUUUUGGGCGUUUAUAGAGGGCUCUGAAUUGGAAACUUCAGUAUUCAAAAGUGCUUUAUGGCCAAAGUUGAGCUCUCCAAAUUCUGCAAGUAGCAAGCGGUACUGGCGAGAUGGGUGGGGUGGGGAUUACCCCCAUCCCGGGACUGGGCUUUGGGACUGGAAAGGCUCAGAAGAGGAAGGGAGGGAGGGAGAGAGAGAAGGAAGAAAGGAAAGGAAAGGCAGAGGAGAUAAAAAGAGGAUUUAAUCAGACUAAUGGGACAAGGGAUUAGCAAAAGGGCACCCGGGACCUGGUUUUAAAUUGGCAAGUGAUGCUUAUAAGGAAACACUGUACGCACGAUCAGGGUCUGGGUGUUCCAGCGAACCAGUGACCAUACAAAUCACGGGCUUCACAGAGAUGGCAGAGUGUCAUACUCUAGCCAUCAGUUACCGUGAAAGCCAUAGCCUCCCUCUCGUAGGCAAUCCGUCAUUCACUAAGUGGCCGCUCUACCUCUCCACACGGAAAGGAGUCGGACUCAGAUGGCCUCCGGCGCGGGCUGAGUCUCGGGGAACCCCCCUGGGGACACGGGCUCGCGGGCAGGCGGCGGAAUGCCGCCUGGGGCUCGGAUAGGGGCGGCCCCCGCCAGGUCGGAGGGCGACUGCUGCCCAGCCUGAGGAGGGUACGGCUGCGAGUGCUCCAAAUACACCACCGGACCUUGAAAGUAUUGCUCCCGUCAACUCGCCAAAAGGAUUCAAUUAUUCACUUAGACAAAACCAACACACAGUCCCGCCACUUGAUAGGCCCUUAUAAUGACAGGGGAGCGCGGCCAGGCAGACCCUCCGCGGGACAGGACCCGGGGAGGAACGUGGUUUUAAAUCCAAGCUCUUGAGAUUCUGAAACCUAACCCGGGAGCGCGAACGAGUGUGUGAAGAUGCACGGGAACCUCAUUUUUCAGAGCCUCUAAAAUAAACUUCUUUCUAGCCGUCUCUCCUUCGUCUUUCCUCUGUCGGGUCAGCGGAACCCGAGGGUAGCUGGAUCGAGAAGGAACGAGUCUCAUGGGCUCCAGCGGGCCCCCUAGACUGGCGAGUCCCUGCGCACCGGUUCUCUUGACCUGAUUUCGCUCGGGCGGUAAAGCGGCGACUCGGCCGGCGGGGCUGGUCUCCCCCGGCCCCGGAG
ensembl:lncRNA